UACGUAGGUGGCAAGCGUUGUCCGGAAUUAUUGGGCGUAAAGCGCGCGCAGGCGGUCCCUUAAGUCUGAUGUGAAAGCCCACGGCUCAACCGUGGAGGGUCAUUGGAAACUGGGGGACUUGAGUACAGAAGAGGAAAGCGGAAUUCCACGUGUAGCGGUGAAAUGCGUAGAUAUCUGCAGGAACACCCGUGGCGAAAGCGGCGCGCUGGACCACUACUGACGCUGAGGAACGAAAGCGAGGGGAGCAAACAGG
rnacentral:rRNA from 1 species